UACGUAGGGACCGAGCGUUGUCCGGAUUCAUUGGGCGUAAAGAGCUCGUAGGCGGCUGUUCAAGUCGAACGUGAAAACUCGGAGCUCAACUCCGAGCCUGCGUUCGAGACUGGAUGGCUAGAGUCUGGUAGGGGGAUCUGGAAUUCCUGGUGUAGCGGUGGAAUGCGCAGAUAUCAGGAGGAACAUCCGUGGCGAAGGCGGCUCUCUGGGACGGUACUGACGCUGAGACGCGAAAGCGUGGGGAGCGAACAGG
rnacentral:rRNA from 1 species